UAAAAAGCUCUUGUUCCUUAACACCAGGCAGCUGUGGUUGUUUGCUGCCAUCAGUUUAUUGGCAGCUGUGAACUUGUAAAGGCUCUCAGAAAGCAGGCACUAGCUUAGGGUCAUAUCGAAGCAUCUUAAUGAAGAUUUUUCUACAAAAUAUUUGCUACCCAAGGGCUGUAACAUUCAGAACCUUCUUUUCAGCUCUCUUAGAGAGUAUGUGAGGAUGGCACGAAAUGACACAGCACCGAGUAGCAGAAGUCUUUUUCAAGCUUUUGAGACAGAUGUUCUUACAGAAGUUCUGUACUUAAAGAAACAAACAAAGGGGGGAAAAAAAAAAAGGAAAUGAGAAAAGGUGGAAAAAAAAAGAGGUUAAAAUUACCAAUAAUUCAUUUCUAAGCCCUCUGGUGUUUGCUGAGUUGAAUUUUUUAAGCAGAAAUUAUGAAGAUGAUAAUAUACUCAUAGUUUAUAGUGCUUAGCUCUAUCUUUUUAUAUUCAGUCUGCCUUAGACCUAAGAAGAUGUUAGAUUCAGGCUCCUUUCACAGGAGGCCAGGCCUGGGCAAGGGUGUGCGGCUGAAACAGCAGGUUAGGCACUUAGGUAGCGAUUCUCCUGCACGCCUCUGAAGCAGUGUGCUGCACGUCACUCAGCCGUGCACACCCUUACCCCCUCAGGGAAGAGCAGGGUUCUGGAAAAUUCACUUUAUUUGCAAACGUGCAUGGAGCAGAUCAGCCAGGCACAGCACAGAGAAAUAUUAGUUGGACACAGGCUGUCACGGCUCCUUGCAUCUACCUAUGACAACCAUAAUAAAUACAACACUUAGGUGAAAUUGCUGACUCCCUCGUCUUUUGGUUUUAAAAUACAAUAGUGAUAUCGACUUCAGAUCUUGCCCGAUUUACUUUAAUUUGAGCCAGGCCUCUACAGAAAGCUGUUGCCCGGGUAACAAAUGCCGCGCACCAUAAUAAGGCAAAUUGCUGUUGAAAUAAAUAGUAAUUACAG